AGGUGGCUAUUUUAACAUUUCCCUGUGGAAAAGAAGGACUGAAUUUAACUACAUAAAUUCUUUAGAACAGUCUGGAAUGUCUGUUCAAAUUACUGCACCAGAACAUUUCUGGAAGGUUCUCACCCAAAAAGAAAAAAAAAA